AUUGAACGCUGGCGGCAUGCCUUACACAUGCAAGUCGAACGGUAACAGGUCUUCGGAUGCUGACGAGUGGCGAACGGGUGAAUAAUACAUCGGAACGUGCCUAGUAGUGGGGGAUAACUACUCGAAAGAGUGGCUAAUACCGCAUGAAAUCUACGGAUGAAAGCGGGGGAUCGCAAGACCUUGUGCUACUAGCGCGGCCGAUGGCAGAUUAGGUAGUUGGUGGGAUAAAGGCUUACCAAGCCGACGAUCUGUAGCUGGUCUGAGAGGACGAUCAGCCACACUGGGACUGAGACACGGCCCAGACUCCUACGGGAGGGAGCAGUGGGGAAUUUUGGCCAAUGGGCGCAAGCCUGAUCCAGCAAUGCCGCGUGCAGGAUGAAGGCCUUCGGGUUGUAAACUGCUUUUGUACGGAACGAAAAGCCCUGGGUUAAUACCCUGGGGUCAUGACGGUACCGUAAGAAUAAGCACCGGCUAACUACGUGCCAGCCGCCGCCGUAA
rnacentral:rRNA from 1 species